UACAGAGGGUGCGAGCGUUUAAUCGGAGUUACUGGGCGUAAAGGGCGCGUAGGCGGUUAUUUAAGUGAGAUGUGAAAUCCCUGGGCUUAACCUAGGAACUGCAUCUCAUACUGGAUAGCUAGAGUAUUGUAGAGGGUAGUGGAAUUUCCGGUGUAGCGGUGAAAUUCGUAGAUAUUCGCAAGAACACCAGUGGCGAAGGCGGCUUACUGGUCCGGUUCUGACGCUGAGGCGCGAAAGCGUGGGGAGCAAACAGGG
rnacentral:rRNA from 1 species